CGGCGAUGUGCGUCAGGGGCUGGGAUAGCAAUCAAAAAUGGUUUCGUUUGGAUUAAUGACAAAGCCCCCAUCCUUCCAGGAGUGGGAGCACCUCUGUUCCUUGGCAGAGUUCGUUGCAGAAGUGGGAUUUUAUUGCUUUAUCUUCCAGUCCUAAAGAUUCGAAGACUCUUUUAAGAUGUUCUGAUAUUAAGGGGUGUAUGACAUAUCCCUCC